rnacentral:lncRNA from 1 species
GAUUCCCCGCGGAAAACCGAGGCGUCGGGAGAAGACGAGGCGGACGGUGUCGCUGACGCGGCUGGCCCGCGACGCUUUCGCGCCAAAAACGAUUCGCCCGGCGCCCCCAGCGCGCCGGGUUCGGGUUGGGUCCGCCGGCGCCAAUUUCGGCGUGAGCCGGCGAAAAAAGGGUCCCUGAAGGCGUGACUGGGCCGAUUUUUUGGCGCCGGCGGCCGAAAAAUCGUCUGGGGGGCCUUGUUGGGGGCGCGGCUGGAGAUGCUCUCAUGUCCACGCAGCGGGAUCGGCGUCGCCAUCGCCGGCGAAUUCAACACCAUGGUGCGGUAGCCCGCCCGGCCCCUCCGCCUCUGCCCUACCACCUACGUCAUGUUCCGCACUCGGUCUGUAUUCUGAAUUUCUGAUCCAAUUUAUUUGGGCAUCAAACUACUUUCGUGGUUAACAAAAAGGGAAAAAUCGAUGUCGGGGACAUUUCUUUCUUCUGAAGAUAAAUAGCCGAAUACUGUUGUACUGCUUCUUUUUUCUGGAGGCCAAUGCCGUGUUAAGCUGGUGUGUAGUCGAUUAUGGACUAGCGUGCCAUGCUCUGUCUAUUCGAGACAAGUCACGGUUAUGGACUUCUCACUUCAGUGUUUAAAUUCCUUUGAACCUGAAGGCUCUCUUCGAUAGCUACCCCCCACCCCCCACCUACCAGGCCACCACAAGUCAUGGUCAUUGAUUUCUACGUGAAGAUUGGACGGUGCAGAUGAAGCACUUGUGCUCCUUUUGUAAUUCAAAAUUUGUGUGCGUUAUAAUGCAUCACCUAAACUGGCGCCCUUUGCUGGGCUGCGGCCAGAGUGCACGAUGAGUACCAUCAACUCCCCUUUUAAUACGCAGGCAGAGACGCGGUGGCACGCCGCGCCUGUGUAGAAGCCCUUGUGGUGCUUUCUAUUCUUUUUUAGAAUUUCUAGUACCUCAUUCCUAGUUGUUGAGCUAAUGUCCCGCUAUUUGCAUACUGAACAAAAUACAGAUGUUUAUAAAUGUCAUCUAUGCCUAGCUCGAUCCAGUCAAUUGGUAAAGUAUUUUUGUUUUGUUUAUUUAUUAUCGAUUAUUAUUCAGUUGACAUAUGACUGCACGUGUGAUAGAAGGAAGAAUGUUGUGAAAAAGCUCAAGGAUAGACUUCAACUAACUCCAAAAUUUAUUUUAUGUGGUGUAUUUGAAUGUUGCAGUUCUAAAUUUAUUUAUCAAAUUACCAUGAAACCUGUAAAGGUUCAUGCAUUUAAUCAUAACAAAACUUGGAUCAUUCUUUAGUUCGCAACACAAAACAGAACAGAGGCAAAGGGAACGUACCGUCGUUACCUGCAGGAACCCAAUUCCCUUCUUGGUGCUCUCACCCGCCACCAACAUGAUGUGUG